rnacentral:rRNA from 1 species
GCCAACGGCCAUAGGAGAAUGGAAACACCCGAACCCAUCCCGAACUCGGAAGUUAAGCGUUCUCACGGCCUUGUCUGUACUGCCCUAUGGGCGGAAAAACGGGCUGCU